AUGGAAAAAGCAAGAGAGUUCCAGAAAAACAUCUAUUUCUGCUUUAUUGACUAUGCCAAAGCCUUUGACUGUGUGGGUCACAAUCAACUGUGGAAAAUUCUGAAAGAGAUGGGAAUACCAGGCCACCUGACCUGCCUCUUGAGAAACCUAUAUGCAGGUCAGGAAGCAACAGUUAGAACUGGACAUGGAACAACAGACUGGUUCCAAAUAGGAAAAGGAGUAUGUCAAGGCUGUAUAUUGUCACCCUGCUUAUUUAACUUCUAUGCAGAGUACAUCAUGAGAAACGCUGGGCUGGAAGAAACACAAGCUGGAAUCAAGAUUGCCAGGAGAAAUAUCAAUAACUUCAGAUAUGCAGAUGACACCACCCUUAUGGCAGAAAGUGAAGAGGAAUUAAAAAGCCUCUUGAUGAAAGUGAAAGAGGAGAGUGAAAAAGUUGGCUUAAAGCUCAACAUUCAGAAAACGAAGAUCAUGGCAUCCGGUCCCAUCACUUCAUGGGAAAUAGACGGGGAAACAGUAGAAACAGUGUCAGACUUUAUUUUGGGGGGCUCCAAAAUCACUGCAGAUGGUGACUGCAGCCAUGAAAUUAAAAGAUGCUUACUCCUUGGAAGGAAAGUUAUGACCAACCUGGAUAGCAUAUUAAAGAGCAGAGACAUUAUUUUGCCAACAAAGGUCCAUCUGGUCAAGGCUAUGGUUUUUCCAGUGGUCAUGUAUGGAUGUGAGAGUUGGACUAUGAAGAAAGCUGAGUGCCGAAGAAUUGAUGCUUUUCAACUGUGGUGUUGGAGAGGACUCUUGAGAGUCCCUUGGACUGCAAGGAGAUCCAACCAGUCCAUUCUAAACGGGAUCUGUUCUGGGUGUUUAUUGGAAGGACUGAUGGUAAAGCUGAAACUCCAAUACUUUGGCCACCUCAUGCGAAGAGUUGACUCAUUAGAAAAGACUCUGAUGCUGGGAGCGACUGUGGGCAGGAGGAGAAGGGGACGACCGAGGAUGAGAUGGCUGGAUGGCAUCAGCAACUCAAUGGACAUGAGUUUGAGUGAACUCCGGGAGUUGGUGAUGCACAGGGAGGCCUGGCGUGCUGUGAUUCAUGGGGUCGCAAAGAGUCAGACAUGA
rnacentral:lncRNA from 1 species